AUUGAACGCUGGCGGCAUGCCUUACACAUGCAAGUCGAACGGUAACGCGGGGCAACCUGGCGACGAGUGGCGAACGGGUGAGUAAUACAUCGGAACGUGCCCAGUAGUGGGGGAUAGCCCGGCGAAAGCCGGAUUAAUACCUCAUACGACCUACGGGUGAAAGCGGGGGAUCGCAAGACCUCGCGCUAUUGGAGCGGCCGAUGUCAGAUUAGGUAGUUGGUGGGGUAAAGGCCUACCAAGCCUACGAUCUGUAGCUGGUCUGAGAGGGCGACCAGCCACACUGGGACUGAGACACGGCCCAGACUCCUACGGGAGGCAGCAGUGGGGAAUUUUGGACAAUGGGCGCAAGCCUGAUCCAGCCAUGCCGCGUGCGGGAAGAAGGCCUUCGGGUUGUAAACCGCUUUUGUCAGGGAAGAAACGCUCUGGGUUAAUACCUCGGGGUAAUGACGGUACCUGAAGAAUAAGCACCGGCUAACUACGUGCCAGCAGCCGCAGUAACAC
rnacentral:rRNA from 1 species